rnacentral:piRNA from 1 species
UAUGUGACCUCAUUGUAAACAAAGCUAC